GCCUGGGUGGCUCAGUGGUUGAGCGUCUACCUUUGGCUCAGGGCAUGAUCCUGGGGUCGUGGGAUCGAGUCCCACAUCGGGCU
rfam:Canis lupus familiaris chromosome X, whole genome shotgun sequence.